rnacentral:rRNA from 1 species
GCGGAGGAAAAGAAACUAACAAGGAUUCCCCUAGUAACGGCGAGUGAAGCGGGAAGAGCUCAAAUUUGAAAUCUGGUAGCCUUCGGCUGCCCGAGUUGUAAUCUAGAGAAGUGUUUUCCGUGCCGGCCCAUGUACAAGUCCCUUGGAACAGGGCGUCAUAGAGGGUGAGAAUCCCGUCCUUGACAUGGACCCCCGGUGCUUUGUGAUACACUUUCAACGAGUCGAGUUGUUUGGGAAUGCAGCUCAAAAUGGGUGGUGAAUUCCAUCUAAAGCUAAAUAUUGGCGAGAGACCGAUAGCGAACAAGUACCGUGAGGGAAAGAUGAAAAGCACUUUGGAAAGAGAGUUAAACAGUACGUGAAAUUGUUGAAAGGGAAACGAUUGAAGUCAGUCAUGCUCUUUGGAUUCAGCCGUUCUGCGGUGUAUUUCCAUUGAGUGGGGUCAACAUCAGUUUUGAUCGCUGGAUAAAGGCACUAGGAAGGUAGCACUCUCGGGUGAACUUAUAGCCUAGCGUCAUAUACAGUGAUUGGGACUGAGGAACGCAGCAUGCCUUUAUGGCCGGGAUUCGUCCACGUACAUGCUUAGGAUGUUGACAUAAUGGCUUUAAACGACCCCGUCUUGAAA